AUGAAGUAUAGUUGUCCACAGUGUGUUUGUCUCCAAAGCAGUACAUGUAUUCUGUUUCUCAUAAUACUGACAAUUAGGUUUUGAUUCUGUAAAAUAAAGCUUCAGUGUAAUCUUUUUUAAUCCCCAGAGCUCCGAGCAAAAUGACAGCGAUCCGAAGAUCUGCUACAGGAUAAAGUAUUCUCACAUCACCCUUGGGACUCCAGGACAAUAACGACUCUGUCUCAUCCAUCAUCCAGCUAUCCUCAUCCUCUAGCACUCGGGUCCCCGGCCUCAGGAGGGGACCCCAGACAGCUGUGGGCGGUUUAUUAGGCCAUGAGAUGACUGGGAACUUCCAGACAGGGUGUGUGAGCACAAACCAGGGUCGAUCUGAUGCAUGAGGAAAAGAGAGGGAGGACAAAUUCUCCUGUGUCUUAUUUGCUCUGGAACCAUCAGGAUGCUGAGAAUAAAACAAACACAGUUGGCUUUCCCUCAGGGACAAUUGACAAUGUCUUACUGCUCAGUUGGACGCUUCGGCUUUACGGAGAUCAUGAGAUUGUGAGGAUGCAUGAGCUUCUCACUUUUCAAAAAUGGACUCGAGGUCAUCAAUGGUGUUAAAAAAAAUAACACAGCUUGAUUGUUAUUCCAGAGAAACUGUCAUGUACGUGCUCUCUCUCUCCCUGUCUUUCUGCCACAAUAGACCGCAUUUCAUUAGAGGCAUCAGCGAGGUAAUUCAGGAUAAAAUAUGGAAGCCAAAUUGCUUGGCGUGAGAUGCCUUUCAAAGUAACGGCAUUGGAGGGAAAACCUAAAGAGCAGGAGGCCUUGUUAAUAAAAGAAUGGAAAACACUCGAGAUGAACA
ensembl:lncRNA